GGCUCUGACAUGCUCUUCUGGCCUCUGAGGGUACCAGUCCUGCACAGAAAGCAUAAAAAUAUAUGAAGGCAGAGCACCCAUUUACAUAAAAGUAGAAUAUUUUGCAUAUCAAUGGUGAUUAGGAAAUGCCAGCGUCUCCGUCUCCUCUUUUCCCUCCUUUGACUUCCCUGAUACACAUAGACCAGUAGUCCUCAACUUGUAGCUUGUGACCAUUUUGGUAAACCUCUAUCUCCAAAAAUAUUUACAUUACAAUUAAUAACAGUAGCAAAAUUACAGUUAUGAAGUAGCAACACAGACAGUUUUAUGGUUGGGGGUCACCACAUCAUGAGAAUUGUAUUAAAGGGCCACAGCUUUAGGAAGGUUGAGAACAGCUGCUUUAGACCAUUUCUGUGUCUAGUGAAAUGCCGGUCAACACAGAGUUGUGAGCUUACAUGUAUAAUUCGCAGUUGUUUGAAUUCUGGCUGGGCCCAUUAGGAACUAAUGUCAGUAAGCUCCAGCUCUGUCAGUUGUAAGGUAUAAAGAAAACCAAGAGCCACCUCACAGAAGCUACACGCGCCUAAUUUGUUUUGGUUGCAGGACCUGGAUCCGGGCGUCAUGCCUGGGAAGCAUGCACUCUGCCUUCAUGCUUCAUCCCUGGCCCCAGCCCUGUGCGAUGAGGUACCAUGUGGCAGUAGAUGGCAAGGAAGCAUAAGAAGCCCACGAGGGUGGCCAGGAGUAGGCGAGUGACAUCCAUCCUGAGAAGCCUAAGUUGGACAGAGAAGGUGGUCUGUGGUGAGUUCGGAGAGAAGAUGAUGGUAGGAGGAUGUGCCUUUGCGAUGGCUGGCUGACUUGGCCUCACAAGCGUCUCGGCAGGGCCGGAAGUCUAGCAAUACUGAGGGCAGGGAUGUUGUAUAGGGAGAUGACAGAAAAGGAGAGAUGGGGAGAAGAGAGAAGACGAGGAAGGGAGGGAGGGAGGCUGAAGCAAAGAGGGCAAGAAUGCAUUGUGUUGGUGUGUGCUGUCCAGAGGGCGGAGUACUGACUCUUUCUGUGUCUUUUCUUGUUCCUGUAUAAGCGCUGGUCCCAGGAGACCUUAGGCCUAGGCAGAGCUGUUGAAAGCGCACCCCCUACUCCCCAGGAGGGCCUCCUCUCAGGGGCAGAGGUCUUACUAAGGUAAAAAGAGUACACAUAAAAGCUCAGCGAGAGGGAUGAGAAAAAGCCUCCUGAAGACAAGUGGCUGUCAUCUCAUGCCAGAUUCCCUGCUGACCCAGAGGGAACAAACACAGAUCAGACUGUGUCAGGGUAUGGCAACAUAAGAUAAAUGGAUUUCUUAAUCUGCUAGUUGGAGUUUGAAGGGGCUGAUGGAUUUUUUUUAGCAGGUUUCUUCCCUUGAAUGCCUUCUGUCACUAUGGGAUCCCCACUCUAACCUACCCAACUGCCCCAUUUCCCUCUCUGGUUUUGGAAAAGCCUGGGUCUACAUUUCCAAGAUUUCCUCUACCGGAGACAUAAGUACUGUGGGGGAGAAGAGAAUAACGGUUUGCUCAUCCUGAUCCUACCCACUGCUGGUUCCCUGUGCAGCUGUCUGGCCAGCUCCAGCCUCCUCCUCUCCACCCUCAACUUGGUUGGUGUGCUGGCUAGUUUUUAUGUCAAUGUGACACAAGUCAGAAUCAUUUGGGAAGAGAGCACUUCAAUUGAGAAACUGCCCACACCAGACUGGCCUGUGGACAAGCUUGUGGUGCAUUUUUUGAUUGAUGAUUGACGUGGGAGGGCCCAGCUCAUGAGGGGCAGUGCUACCCCUGGGUUGAUCGUCUUUUGUGCUAUAGAAAGCACAGUGAGUAAAGCCAUGAAGAGAAAGACAGUAAGAGGCGCUCCUCCAUGGCAUCUGAUUCAGUUCCUGCCUCCAGGUUCCUCCCUGACUUCCGCUGAUGAUGGACUAUGACCUGAAAGUUGUAACCUGGAAUAAACCCUUUCCUUGCCAAGGUCAUGGGUUCUAAUGCAGCAAUAGAGACACGAACAUGGGUGGCACCAGGUUUUCUGCAUGUGUGUUACAUUGCAGGAGAAGAUGCAAUCAACUCUGGCCUCUGCCCCUUGCAAUCUUCUUGAAGCUGUAGGGGAUGGUCCUGACCUUUAGAAAUCCACCCACCCAUAUGGCCCCAAUGCCAGUUCUGAUCACCUCAGGUCUUUUUCACCACUGGGCACUGCAGGUCAGAAACUUGCCACCAAAUUGCUUUCAAAAAGUCUAGUUAGCUGAGAGUGGACACUGGCCCAACCACUGUGAUUUUAGUGUUGGCUCAGCAAUAAAGGAGAUGUACAACUCUG